rnacentral:snRNA from 2 species
UUCAACAAACUAAAUGAAAUGGACUAAUUCUUUAAACUAUAAACUAGCAUGGCCCCUGCGCAAGGAUGACACGCAAAUUCGUGAAGCGUUCCAUAUUUAA